GAUGAAGAACGCAGUGAAAUGCGAUAAGUAAUGCGAAUUGCAGAAUUCCAGUGAGUCAUCGAAUCUUUGAACGCACAUUGCGCCCUUUGGUAUUCCGAAGGGCAUGCCUGUUCGAGCGUCAUUAUCACCCCUCAAGCCCUCGGCUUGGUGUUGGACGGUUUGGUGGAGGCCCCCUCGGGGGCUCCUGCCCCUCCCAAAGACAAUGACGGCGGCCUCGUUGGACCCCCGGUACACUGAGUUCUUCACGGGACACGUAUCGGACACAUGGGUUUACGGGACACGGUCUGCCUCCCCUCAGGGAGAAUCUUUCUAAGGUUGACCUCGGAUCAGGUAGGGAUACCCGCUGAACUUAAGCAUAUCAAAAGCGGAGGA
rnacentral:misc_RNA from 1 species